rnacentral:rRNA from 1 species
GACGAACGCUGGCGGCGGGCUUAACACAUGCAAGUCGAACGGAAAGGCCCUGCUUUUGUGGGGUGCUCGAGUGGCGAACGGGUGAGUAACACGUGAGUAACCUGCCCUUGACUUUGGGAUAACUUCAGGAAGCUGGGGCUAAUACCGGAUAGGAGCUCCUGCUGCGUGGUGGGCGUUGGAAAUUCUCGGCGGUUGGGGAUGGACUCGCGGCUUAUCAGCUUGUUGGUUGGCGAGUGGCUGACCAAGGCUUUGACGGGUAGCCGGCCUGAGAGGGUGACCGGCCACAUUGGGACUGAGAUACGGCCCAGACUGCUACGGGAGGCAGUAGGGGGGAAUAUUGUACAAUGGGCGGAAGCCUGAUGCAGCAACGCCGCGUGCGGGAUGACGGCCUUCGGGUUGUAAACCGCUUUCGCCUGUGACGAAGCGUGAGUGACGGUAAUGGGUAAAGAAGCACCGGCUAACUACGUG